GGCAUUAUAAAUAAGCCACACUUGAGAGCCUAGAGUCUGUACAGCGAGUCAUCAAACCUUCACCAAACAUGAGGAACGCUUUUGUGCUAGCCUGCAUACUCUUCAUCUCCGUGACUCCUCUCUUCCUUCCUUCCGCUGAAGCUGGAAGACUACUACUUCAGACAGGAGGGUACCUUCAGCCAGGCGCACCAGGAUGGCCUGGUCCGGGUGUAAGAGGAAGGUCUGGCACACCCUACCGGGGUGGCCCAAAUCCUGCAUACCAGCAGCCGCCAUGUGUCCGUACGCGUACUUGCAAUCCAAAAGUUGAUGGCGCUACAGUGCCAUGAGGUCGAGAAGGCCAUAUUCGGACAGCCGUUGUCAUGCGCUAAGUACUUAAUUCAUUUGCUAUGUUUUCAUUGGUCUUGAAACACUUCGUCGGUCUAUUUUGAGCAAGUUUGCGUGACAACACUAUGUCUCUCCAAAAUGUAGUACUACUAAGGAUGUUUAGCGACUGCCGGCUAGUUAUUGAAUAAAGGGAUGAGCCUGGUCUGCGUGCUAUCAAUGCUUGAUAGAAUGCAUUAUCUGUUAGCUUAAGGCAAGUCUGUUUUCACAGAUGUAAUUGAAUAUCUUAUGUAUGUGACUUCUCGUCUGGAAGAGCGCCCUUAUUUAUAGGGACAUGUUGGAGAAGGUAAUC